UCCUACGGGGCGCAGCAGUGAGGAAUAUUGGUCAAUGGGCGGGGGCCUGAACCAGCCAAGCCGCGUGAGGGAAGAAGGUACAGCGGAUCGUAAACCUCUUUUGUCAGGGAACAAAGGCGGGGACUAGUCCCCGGAUGAGGGUACCUGAAGAAAAAGCAUCGGCUAACUCCGUGCCAGCAGCCGCGGUAAUACGGAGGAUGCGAGCGUUAUCCGGAUUUAUUGGGUUUAAAGGGUGCGCAGGCGGCCUGUUAAGUCAGCGGUAAAAGCCCGGGGCUCAACCCCGUCGAGCCGUUGAAACUGGCGGG
rnacentral:rRNA from 1 species